AGCUUGGUGUCUAGGGUUCCGACGCAGAAAAUGCGAAGAGUGGUGGUGCUUGUGGUGUGGUGUGCCAUCGAAAUUUAGUCGAUCGAGAUUCGAGAGUGAAUGGAAAUGGAUGAAACCGUUACUACUGCUACCUUACUUAGAGUCGGUAGGUAGGUAGGUAGGUAGGUAGGUAGGUAGGUAGGUGUGUAGAUAAAGUAAUAAUGGUGAGUAAUUCAGUUCGUUCUGAUGUGGUGUUUGGUUUUGGUGGGAGUAUCAAACGCCACUGUGGCACUCGCCGGAGUUUCAAACUGUCAAGUAAAAGGAAGACAAUAAUUAGCGGUGGCAAAAUAAGUUACUACUCCUUCUCCUGUGUUGAAAUUGAAAUUGAUAUAUGUUAUUUUAUUUUAUUUUUUUAAAAAAA
rnacentral:lncRNA from 1 species